rnacentral:rRNA from 1 species
GGAAUAUUGCACAAUGGGGGAAACCCUGAUGUAGCGACGCCGCGUGAGUGAAGAAGUAUUUCGGUACGUAAAGCACUAUCAGCAGGGAAGAAAAAAAGUCCUUUGGACUUUGGACGGUACCUGACCAAGAAGCCCCGGCUAACUACGUGCCAGCAGCCGCGGUAAUACGUAGGGGGCAAGCGUUAUCCGGAUUUACUGGGUGUAAAGGGAGCGUAGACGGUAAGGCAAGACUGGAGUGAAAUGCAGGGGCUCAACCCCUGAACUGCUUUGGAAACUGUAUGACUGGAGUGCAGGAGAGGUAAGUGGAAUUCCUAGUGUAGCGGUGAAAUGCGUAGAUAUUAGGAGGAACACCAGUGGCGAAGGCGGCUUACUGGACUGUAACUGACGUUGAGGCUCGAAAGCGUGGGGAGCA